GCACUCCCCGGCAGACUCACAGGAAACUCCUCUACCAGUGUGUGUGUGUGUGUGUGUGUGUGUGUGUGUGUGUGUGUGUGGUUUCAUUUGAUUUGCUUCUAGUGAAAGUUCUCAAUCAAGCCACCUCAGCGGAGCGGUCUUCGAGGACCUGGAGCGGCUCAGCCCACUAAGGACACCCAUAUGAGCUGACUUUCCACUGCAGUGAUUUCAUCAGUAAUGAGGCACUAUAAGCUGCAGAUGUUGUGUCAAACUCUCCAGCAGGAACCAUGGCAACAGGAUGAACACACACAGAGGACCUUGCCCAAGGUGAUCCAAACGGUCCUGUAUGUGCUGACUGUGUGCCAAACUAGCUUACGUUUCUCAGGCAUUGUUAACGUUAUACACGACACGAGAAGUUGAGACAAUUCUGGCUGUUGUAGUUUAUAGAUCAGAAACAUAUUUAGUUUCACACAUGCAAUCCUCAUGUCUGUAAAGGAUGGUUUCUUUUAAUUUGAUGUUUCGAUUUCAGCUUCACCGAUUUUACAGGAUUUCCAGCAGGACAAAACAAUUCAAAGAAAAAACUGCUUCAGGGACAAUCAACUUUGUACCACUGCAGUUCUUUCCAAGUUUUUCAGUACAUAAAAAAAGCUAAAGAAAUGUUUAAAAGUGGGCCCAGUCAGGUUUUUUUUUUUUUUUUAAAAGAAGAUGUUUAACAUGGCAAGAAUGACAAGGACAGGAAAACAGUGCAGAGCAGCUCAACAUGUAAGAAUAUCACUGUGUGCACAACCAACUGUGUUUAUUAA